rnacentral:lncRNA from 1 species
UGGCUUCCUCACCUGAAAGUCCAUUUCAUCAACUGAAAGAAAAGCUGGGGCUGGGAAAAGAGAAGUUCAAGAGGAGGCUUCAGACAGCCUUUUUAUGAAAGAACCCAGAUGACUCGGAGGAGUGAGAGAAGAGAGAAGGGGAAGGAGAGCUAAGGUGUAUUCAGUCCCCGGGUCUCUGGGGCCAGCCUCUCUGACUGUGCUCCCUGUCCUAGCAGGCUAGCAGGCUGCCAGUGUGACC